GGCCUUCUCUAGUGCCUUGAUGGUCUGCAGACACAAAUAAAUAAAAGCUAAAUGGAAGGGCAGAGAGGGGGAUGGAGAGAAUUAUAAGGAACACUAAGAAAACAGUUUCAAGGGCCUACUUUCUGUAUGGUUAGUAACAGAAAACCACGGUAUUGUACAAUACAGUUCUCCAAAUUUGAGUUUAAGCAAAUAAAAAAAACAAGGAUUGGAAUUUAUAGAUCUCUGCAAUCAUUUCCAAC
rnacentral:misc_RNA from 1 species